CCUAGCUAGAAAGUGAGCUUAGGAGAUGAGGUACAGAUUGGGUAGCUGUUUCUCAGACCACCUUCCUUUUGACACUAUCUACUCCAGCCUCCUUCAGAGUGUAUGGAGAGGACUGCCAGAACACAGAAGAGGAUGGAGUAGCAAAAUGGAAGAAGCCGGGAUUUCUGAAAGUUUGUGGAGCAGAACUUCUAGUUCCACCCCUUUGUCACCACUAGCCCACACCGGAUUAUGAUGAGACCAAAAGUGCCAGGAAGUGCUGCUGUCACCACCACAUUCUGGGAGUCAUGCUCUUUACCGUAAUUCUUUGCUGUGCCCACGCAUCAUUGCUGGCAAGGUCCUUGAGUCACAGACGGCUCCUGGAGGACGGCUCCUGGAAGACAGCUCCUACCCAAACCGAGGAAGGGCUUUUUCUCUUUUCCCUCCCAUCUGUCCCUUUGUGAAUUCCGCACUAUCAUGGGAAUUUAAUUCAACCUUCUUUUGUGCUUCUUACAAUGCCACGGCAGAAAACCUUCUCACAUUAUCUUUUCCCCUGCCAUUUUCCCCACCUUGGCCUUUGCUUUUGGCAUUAAGAAUAGCACAAGGCCUUAUGAAAAGGUGAAGAAAUUUAACUUGAUUUACCUGUUCCACAGUGCAAACACAUCAAAAUGUCAUGUUGUAAACUACAAAUCUGUACUAUUUUCACUUUUCAAUUAAAAAAGGACCAAAAGCAUCUCUUCAGGGUAAUAGCUGCAAUUCUUUUUCAUUUUAUUGGUAUACAUUCACAGUGCAUAAUAAUGAUGUUCAUUUUAGGGAAUUGGCACAUAUAUAAAUUGAAUCUUGAUCAUUUUUCGUCCCUCUCCUUUUUUACCCUUUCUCUGGUCCCUUUUCCCAUCUCCACAAAGUCUAUUCCCCUUUUUUCUACCAUCUCUUCUUUAUUUUACUCCUUAAAUUACUGUAUUUAUAUUUUGGGUUUCAUAAGAGAAACCACACAAUAUUUAUUCUUUUGAGUCUGGUUUAUUUCACUAAAUAUUAUGGUCUCAAGAUUCAUCCAUUUUGCUACAAAUGACUCAAAUUCAUUCAUUUUUAUGGUUGAAUAGUACUCCAUUGUGUAUGUAUUCAGCAUAUACUCUUCAUAUACUCGACUGUUGAUGGGGAUGUAGGCUGUUUCCAUAGUUUAGCUAUUGUGAAUUGUACUCUAUAAACAUGGGUAUGCAUGUGUCACUGUAA